CCCCGGGCCGCUCCAGACCUGCCCCACGCCCUGGCGUGUCCCUUUCCCGGUGGGGACCCUCUAGCGGCCUGAGUUUGAGAGAAGAUCUAAGCUAAGCCGCCACAGCGAGGGACCACAUUGAGAAGAUCGGAGCCUGCCUGGCCGUUGUGAGCCUCCUCUCCUGCGGCUGAACAGACCUAACUGACUACAGCCAGGAGUGGGUCAUUCGAGGGUCAGGAGAGGUUUUAGACGUAAAAUACACACGUGGGUGACCUCAAACAUACUCUCUGAGCCUCUUGUUGAACAAAAUGGAGCUAGGCAGUUUGGGGUUCUUUGUUUGUUUGUUUUUACAUGGAGUCUCACUCUGUCACCCAGGCUGG
rnacentral:lncRNA from 1 species